GCCAGUGCACCCCUGGGUAGUCAAAAGGUAUAUUGCAGGAUUUUAUGGUGAAAAUUACAGAAAAAGAAAUAUUAGAGAGGGGAAACACACAUUCUAGGAGGGUACAUCCACACAUAUAAAACAAGGAAAUCCUCUCUUUUUUUGAGGAUUUCUCCUUUUGGGCGGGCGCGAGUGGCUAUGCGGGCGCAAGAUUUCAGUGACCGGCUGGAGGGAAGUGCUCCCUCCUGCCAGGCCACAUGGCAUGCGGCAGUGGUA